UACAGAGGGUGCAAGCGUUAAUCGGAAUUACUGGGCGUAAAGCGUGCGUAGACGGUUGCGUAAGUCAGAUGUGAAAGCCCCGGGCUCAACCUGGGAACUGCAUUUGAAACUGGCGGGCUUGAGUGUGGCAGAGGGGGGUGGAAUUCCGCGUGUAGCAGUGAAAUGCGUAGAGAUGCGGAGGAACACCGAUGGCGAAGGCAGCCCCCUGGGCCAACACUGACGCUCAGGCACGAAAGCGUGGGGAGCAAACAGG
rnacentral:rRNA from 1 species